rnacentral:tRNA from 2 species
AGCCGGGUAGGGUAGCGGCCAAUCCUGCGAGGCUCUGGACCUCGCGACUGCGGUUCGAAUCCGCGCCCGGCUA